AGAGAGAAGCACACUCCACAGACAGAGUGUGGGCCACCGCUGAGGGUGAAUGCAGACGGCCGUGAAAUAUGGCAUGGUUAGUUUUUAUAGGCUGGGUAAUUCCACAUGCUAAUGAGUGGGAGGACUAUUCCAACUAUUUUGGGGAAGGGGCGGAGAUUUCGUGGAUUGGGCCACCGCCCACUCCUCGGUCUUUUAGCAGUCCUUCCCAGGCCUUCGCGCUGGCUCUCCAUCCUCCUUUGCUUCCGGAGGCGGCAUCCAGAGCCGUUUUGACCAGGAGGAAACCAAGGCUCAGAGCUCGACCAUCGUCCAGGGCCCACCGCACCCAGUGGGUACGUGGGUCCCGCUGCUCCCACUCCAAUCGCGUUUCUCGACCUGGUUCUACUCACAGGACCCCAUGGCGGCUGCAGUGCUAAUGAACUGGGCUCAGAUAUCUGAAAGAAACUAAAGAAGGCGAAGAAGGCCCUCAAACCCCUCAAUGAGACCUUCAAUGAGCCCUUUAAGGUUUUCAAUAACUGGGAAGAGCAGGAAAAUCUAGAGAAGGCCCAGGGAAAUCAGGUUAAAUACCACCUUUGAGCUACUGCCCUACAUGGCUCCACAUUUCCAUCAACCAACAAAGAAGGAAGCCCCCUGGGCCCUACUUCAAAUGCGGCAAAGAAGGUCACUGGGCCCACUCAUGCCUGAAGCCAAGGCCCCCGCCAGGUCCGUGUCCCAGCUGUGGCAUAGUGGGACAUUGGAAGGUCCACUGCUCAAAUCCUCCUCUAGGGAUCCGGACAGCCCUUCCUGGUCUGGAGCAGGAGUCCUCUGACUCAGCUCUGCCCAGCCUCCUCACCGCUGAGGACUGAAGGUGCCCAGGGCCCCACACCCUGACUCUCAUCACCUCUAUGGAGCCCAGAGUAACUCUUACAGUGGCAGCCUCCUCCCUAGGUAUCUGAAAAGAUGGUCCCGAUGCUCGGUGGGGAUGUGGACCACCAAAGUCGCCUUCCCAAAGGAGGAGAUGGCCCUUCCUGAUCCAGAGUGUGCUCCUGAGGCCUCCCCUGCCCCCCACAACACCCCACUGACUGUUGAGAAAUGGUUUCCUGCUGUAUCAGUAAAUGAGGAUGUCGCAGCCACUGGCGGUUCCAGCCCUCCAAUGUGAGCACCUGAACCC
ensembl:lncRNA